UACGUAGGCAGCGAGCGUUGUUCGGAGUUACUGGGCGUAAAGGGUGUGUAGGCGGUUGUUUAAGUUUGGUGUGAAAUCUCCCGGCUCAACUGGGAGGGUGCGCCGAAUACUGAAUGACUUCGAGUGCGGGGAGAGGAGAGUGGAAUUCCUGGUGUAGCGGUGAAAUGCGUAGAUAUCAGGAGGAACACCGGUGGUGUAGACGGCUCUCUGGACCGUAACUGACGCUGAGACACGAAAGCGUGGGUAGCAAACAGG
rnacentral:rRNA from 1 species